rnacentral:rRNA from 1 species
GAUGAACGCUGCGGCGCGCCUAACACAUGCAAGUCGAACGAUUAAAGCACCUUCGGGUGUGCAUAAAGUGGCGAACGGCUGAGUAACACGUGGGCAACCUGCCCCUUUCAUUGGGAUAGCCACGGGAAACCGUGGAUAAUACCGAAUACUUCGAGACUUCCGCAUGGAAGACUCGAGAAAGCUCCGGCGGAGAGGGAUGGGCCCGCGGCCUGUUAGCUUGUUGGUGGGGUAACGGCCUACCAAGGCAAUGAUGGGUAGCUGGGUUGAGAGACCGACCAGCCAGAUUGGGACUGAGACACGGCCCAGACUCCUACGGGAGGCAGCAGUGGGGAAUCUUGCACAAUGGGCGAAAGCCUGAUGCAGCGACGCCGCGUGCGGGAUGAAGGCCUUCGGGUUGUAAACCGCUUUCAGCAGGGACGAGGCGAAAGUGACGGUACCUGCAGAAGAAGCCCCGGCUAACUACGUG